CUAAAUAAAAGUAAUUUAGUUUGUAUUUUAAAACUUUUUUAACCUUUUGAUUAUAUCAGGUAGAAUUCUGAUGAAUUAUCAUAAUUAACUAGGUAUAUUUCAGAAGGAAUUUUUUUUUCUUCAGAAUGAUGUAGAACCAGAUGCUGUAAGAGAUCCUAAGAGCAGUGUGAAAUUUACAUGAAGAUAAAUUUGGAUGGCAUGGCCAAGUUUGUACUAUAUCAGGAGGCCCUUUCUAGGAGUUCUCUUAUAGCACAGCAGGUUAGGGUUGUGGCAUUGUCACUGUGGCAGCUUGGGUCGCUGCCUUGGUGCAGGUUUGAUCCCUGGCCCAGGAACUUCUGCAUGUCAUAGUUACGGCAAAAAAAAAAAAAAAAAGAAAGAAAAAAGAGGCCCUUUCCAUAUGAAUUUUUUUAACUUGUUUAACUCAAUAAAUCCCCAAGAGAUAACAUACUGGGGCUUGAAUCAUUCCUGUUGUAGGCAAUGAUGGAGCCCACAUGGUCACCUUCCAUUGUCCUCCUAAGCCAGGCAGCUAGCACCGGGAAAGCCCAUGAGGUUUUUCCCAUGAUUUUCUGAGGUUCUUCUUUUCUAUAAUGUUGCUUUAUUAGCAAAUAAAUUAAGAAAGCAGAUAUUACACUUUAGCAGACAAGAACCAUACCUAUUUCUUACACAGGUAACAGGUACGUUGGGCUUCAAGAGUGACACAGGUCUAGCCCCAGACUGUAUAAGGAUUCUGUUUAAACACUGAGCAGAUGCCCCGUUUAGACCCCCACCCAACACACACGCAUAUGCCAGCAUUAGUUAGGGCUGGCUGUGAACUCUGAGCCAGUCACUCCUGCAGGCUGCUAGAGAUGGAACUUCUCAUCCUGCCCUCUUUUACAUCCCUGUUCAGUCCUCCCCUUCAUAGAAGCCUCUUUGACACCCCCAACUUACUGGUGGUUUCUGUUUUACAAAGUAGAAUUUAUCAGGUUUAAGUCUUCCUGCUCUAACUGUGAAUUAACAUAUGAAUCAGCAGUCCAGACCCUCACUGCAUAUAGGGCCCCUUGAGGGUCUGACUUGAGGAAGGGUGACUUUGCAAGGACUAGUGUGAGUGAAAAGCACACAGCCAUUACCAAGGUACCAGGAGUCUGACAGUGUUCCAGUUCUCUUUGCAGCAUGUGGACUUGACGGUGGCACACCAGGUUUGACUCGGGACUCUGAUGUCCACAUUGUGCUGUGCAAGCUCUGCACUGAGAGUUGAGCCUCAUAGGGAGGAGCCUGUGUUGGAAAGAGGUCUUUUUGAUCAUUGUUUUGUAUUGUUCUCUUCUGUGGUGGGUAUAACUUCAUGCCCUCUUUUCUGACUUUGCUAUUGAUUUUGCAGAGUGGAGAAUGUUCCUGAGAGCCUUCAGGUCCAACCUGCAGUAUUAUUCUUCAUGCUAACCCCAGUUUAUCACAACCACAUUCUUCUUUUGUCUGUAUUCUCUGAAGGAAGGGUUCAUAUGCUCUGAAUCCUUAGUCCAUAGUCCUAUAUAAAUGUGUUACAAACAAUUGUAAUAGAUUCUUAGAAAUCAGGGUGGAGCUUUUCUUUGAAUAGUUUAGUGAGCAAAUUCAGCAGCAAAGUGGGAAGAAAUGCUUCUCCAUCUAGGAGAGGUCAUGUUUAUCCUCUUAUUGCCCAGAUUCUGUAGUCACAGUGGUAGAGUAGUCAGUGAGAGGUGCCAUUAACACCCAACAGCCCCUAGACACACAGCAUUUUCAUGUCUCCUCUCAUUAAGGAGAAUCAAAAGAGCAUUUUUGCACAGAGAAAAAGGAAAGAGACCCAUGAAUGUCAUCUUUUAUCUUUUGUUUUCAGUUGGCUGAUGUUGGAAUUUUUGUUCUUGACAUGCACUUGUAAACCAGUCUUGCCAAGAUACAAGUUGUUUUGGUUUUUCACUACAAUUACCUCUUGUUCCUCCUGUCUUGACUGCUGACGUUCCUCAGUGAUUCUAAUGUCUAUUUUAUGGGAAGCAGCCUUCCCAUGGGUUUCCUUUUACACACUGCAGGGCUAUCUUUAUACUUUAAAAAAAGAAGAAGAAGAAGAAAACUAUCACUACACUCAUAGGGGAUUUGCAGAAAACCAUUUAGCCCACCUUGAGCAAAAGGUAGAUUCCUCAUUGUUUUCUUAAGCUCAUUGUAAUAAAAAGAAGUCUAAUUCAGCAUUAUUGUGCUACCUCAAAGGUAAAAAUGUUUUAAGAUCUUUUCUGGUCCUGAGUUCUACACAUAGUGUUUGAAAUGUCUUUCAAUUGGAAUUAUUUUUAAAUCACCGGGGAGAAUCUUAUUUUAACCUGUUUUACACUUGUAUUUUAAUCUCAGAAGAAUAAGUGAUUAAAAAGUGAUCAAUUCUUGCUCUGUAGUAUUGAACAUAGCAUUAAAUCAUUGUUUGCUGUGAACAAGGUUGGGUUUUUUAAAAAGGAAACUCUAGGGCUCGGCUUUGCUCUUGGUUAAUAAAGGCUGACAAAUCAUGUCUGAAUUUUUGGUG
rnacentral:lncRNA from 1 species